UUUUUCCAGAUGUCUGAUAUUUUAAUCCAAAAUUCUGGCUGUUUGUUAUGUAAUUAGAUUUGCACAAGUCUUUAAUUCCACACUACCAGGAGUUUCUCUUAAUGAAAUGGGGAAUUCGGCACACGGGCAACUGCUAUUAAACCACGAUAUUCAAAGUACAAGAAAAUAAGACGGCCAUGAAAACGCCGAGGUGUCAUCACUCCCUGACGUCGGUCACCGACUAUAAAAAUCAUCUUUAAUGGGAGACUGGUCCAGAACCCAGUUACAUAAUGGGGAAGGCGAGAGAAUGAAAGGUUACCUAACGGAGCGAGAAAGCCAUCGCUGGAACUUUAGUAGCAAGAAAUUGCCAAAGAGGAAGAUUUUUCUAGCUCAAUAUGUAGACAUUUUCCCAUAAACAAUAAAAAUCAGAGGCCUAGAAAGUG